AGCAGGGACGAAGCGGAAGUGACGGUACCUGCAGAAGAAGCACCGGCCAACUACGUGCCAGCAGCCGCGGUAAUACGUAGGGUGCAAGCGUUGUCCGGAAUUAUUGGGCGUAAAGAGCUCGUAGGUGGUUUGUCGCGUUGUUCGUGAAAACUCACAGCUUAACUGUGGGCGUGCGGGCGAUACGGGCAGACUGGAGUACUGCAGGGGAGACUGGAAUUCCUGGUGUAGCGGUGGAAUGCGCAGAUAUCAGGAGGAACACCGGUGGCGAAGGCGGGUCUCUGGGCAGUAACUGACGCUGAGGAGCGAAAGCGUGGGGAGCGAACAGGAUUAGAUACCCUGGUAGUCCACGCCGUAAACGGUGGGUACUAGGUGUGGGUUUCCUUCCUUGGGAUCCGUGCCGUAGCUAACGCAUUAAGUACCCCGCCUGGGGAGUACGGCCGCAAGGCUAAAACUCAAAGGAAUUGACGGGGGCCCGCACAAGCGGCGGAGCAUGUGGAUUAAUUCGAUGCAACGCGAAGAACCUUACCUGGGUUUGACAUGCACAGGACGCCGGCAGAGAUGUCGGUUCCCUUGUGGCCUGUGUGCAGGUGGUGCAUGGCUGUCGUCAGCUCGUGUCGUGA
rnacentral:rRNA from 1 species